ensembl:lncRNA
UUUAUCCAAAACCACAAUUUCCAUCUGAUAUUAACAAAACUUGUCAUUUUCACCAUAGUAAAGGAAUCAACCAGUACUAAGUACACAUAUAGUGAAAGCAGUCAAUAACUGGAAAAGAACAUAACAGGAGCUUAAAAGAAUACAUUUCUCUUAACUAAACUUUCUAAUUACACUAAACUUGGAAAAAAUAGAGGGCAUUUUUAAAAUUGUUGUUCUCUUUACAGAUAGAGCUCCACGAUCCAAGAACAAUGACUACAACAUUAAAGGUUUUUCUAGAAACCAACCAAACCAUGUAUUACAAAAACAAUACAGAGAAUCCCUGCAAGCCUCAUAUUCUACAAAACAGGGUAGCAGAGAGAAAGCAGAGGGAAUUAAAUAGUCAAGGAUUGUUAAGAAAAAGUAACAGUGCAUACUAAAGGGCCCCUGUAAAGCUGCUUUACAUGAACUGAAGAAUAUAAUUUCCAUAUGACUGUGAUUUUGUGUGAAGAACAGAUGCUUUCAGAAGUGUCACUAUUUAGCUUUUUGGUUUUUUGGGGGAAAAAAAGCCCCAAAUAGUUAGGCGGUAUUUGAGAUAAUUGAAAAAAACCCAAAUGUAAUAGGCUACCUCACAAAGCUAACUACCAGAUUUAUUUACAUAAGCUUCACAUUUCACUGAGACUUUGUACUCCACUCCUAAACUUCCGAACUUUAGAACUGGAAGAGGACUUAGAGAAAGAACAAAUAUUUCUCAGGUUAGCUACUCAUACUACAUAAAAAUAGUGCAACUGUUUGCUACAUUAUAUAACCUUCCAGCACAUCUAUCAAAAUAUUCAGACUUGGUUUUAUUACCUUCUCAUUUAAAAAAAUACAUCAUUCUGCUUUCUUUCUUGCUUUUGAUUAGGAAAUUACAGACAUCUUUACAUUUAAAAUAAAACCCCAGCAACCCACGGCUAGUCCUGCAAACAGAUCCAGUGAAGCAGAUGGCAGUAUAGAAGAAGUGUUAUUAAUGCAGUUGACUCCAGGUGGAGACAAAGGUCCCUCUGGAUAGAGCAGCGUGCAGGCUCAGGAACUUCAAUCAUCCUUAAGCAGCAGCAGCAGAGACGAGCGUUAGGCCUAGACCUGAAUCAGUUCAGUCUUAUUUCUUCAUCAGUGGGGGUGAACUCCUCAGGAAAUGCGGUACCACCGUAAUGGCUGCAGCUCAGGAAGCUCCCAGAACACAAGGCUGAAUAGCUCCCUCAGUUCUGGCAGAAGAAUGCACUUUCCUUUGGGUACAAUGGGAUUUCUAAAUGCUCAGUCUGGCUACAGCAGCUUGGCUGUGCAUCUGAGAACUGCAGGUGUGAUUAGAUUUGAAAUAGCUUAGCACAUUGUGGCUGUUUUUCUUUACAGAAUAGGCUGCUCUUUAAUGGCCCUGACCCCACAGUAAAUCACAUGGAGCUUUUCUAUUCUCCUUAGGGCCCACUCCUGCUGCCCUCACUUUACCCCAAGAGCAUUACCACUGAUUCUGAUCUGCUAAAAAAACAGAGGACUUUGGGUUGGGAAAAGCUCAGUAAGUGCUGGCUGCAGACCAGUGCAGUGUAUUUACAAAGUUUGAAUUUUUGAAAAGUAACUUUGCAUUGUAUGUAUACUGACAACACAAUUACCAAACUCCACAGCCACAUCUUGCUCUUCUGCUUAGGGGAAAAACACUAUCUGAUUUUAUAAGGUAGAUAACAAUUAAGAUUUUCUCCCAAGAAGAGGCCUUGUGUCACUGUUCUUUGCCCUCACUGUGGAAUGUCCUUUCUGAUCACUAACCUUACUCUCAGAGGUCAGCCAGGAGCUGGCUAAAAAGGGCUGAAGAACACUUCUGGCUUCCAAAUGCUCACAUGCUCUGAUACCAAAGAAUGAAGAGAAUACAGCAAAGACAAGGAGAGAACUAAAAUGAAGUCAUAGAGACAAUGUGAUGGUGACAAUGAGUUUAAAGAGAUGGAUGUGAGUUCUUACCAGUGUAAUAUGGGAAGGAAUGAGGAAUGGUACAGCCUAAAGGAUUAGGCAGUGACUUUGGAGAUAUUGUGUGAUUCUCUUGCUAGCUCCUGUUCUCAGCAUCUUUAAAGUCUGGAUAAUAGUAAGAUCUCCUUUGAGACCUACUGGCAGAAAACUGAAUAUUAAAAUGAAACAAUGCUACUGUACAGAUUAUAUUUGACUCAUUAACAUUCCUUGCUUGAGAAAAUAGGGUGGUUUUUGCUUUUGCAGGAAGACUAAACAGAGCUUUGGGAGGCAAAUCUUAUAUGUAUUCUAACACAGGAAUGUUUUAGAGUAUUUUCUACAACUGAAAAUAGUAGCCUGGGAAAGACAGAAUGGGUGGCACAAUGUUCCCAGGAAUUCCCAAAGAGAAGGAGACUAUUUGUGCUCACACAAAAGGGCACUUGCCUUGCUACCAACAGCUCAAGUCUGCCUAUGUCACUCAGGCAAAACUGCCUUCAGAGACAUGUCCUUGAGAUGAUUGUGACAUGUUUGUGUUAUCAGGGUUUUCUUUUCCAGUUCAUGGCUGUGUUGGUGUAAUUUCCAAACCAGCAAAAGUAGAUCUGGCCAUGUUGUUUCUGGGACAGGCCAGAAUGAGAUAAAAUUGUCAUGCAGUUUGUUCUGUAAAGGUAAAUAUUUCCAUGGAACUGCUUAUGUAGGUAAUUGGGAAACUUCCCUCUUUAUGCCUGAAGAACCACAAACUAAAAUGGGACAUGGCUGGUCCAUCCAUAGCUAUUAGGAGUUCCCUACACGUCCAGAGAAGAACAUAGUGACUUCAUUUUCCCUAUUUUGUGCUGAAAAGAUGAGGUAAAAGGCAAAGAUGGGUUGUAUGAGGAAACACAAAAAGUUAGUGUCAGAUUAAAGGCAGUAAGGAACUUUAAGGCUCAGGAUGCCUUGACUGCUUUAGGAUGCUUUGAGACAAGGGGUAAAGGGCUAAAUGCAUGUUAAAUGCAUGUAUUGUUCCUGGUACAUUGUUCAGGCACCUAUUUUGACCUUAUGUGCUUGUUUUGCUGAGGAUUAGCAGGCUGUGAGGGGAGGAGGGACGUGCUGUACCUGGUGUUCAGCUCACAGUCAGCCCUGGCUGCGUGUCCAGGGAGCCAGCAGGGCUCAGAGGGACACAGCAGCAGCUAAUGAACCACUCAGCUCUGCCUGUCAGAACCUCAUGGCUGACAUUACCACCAGGGACCUUGCUGCCCUUUCCUUCCUGCACGUUAAUCACAUGAAAUCCAAUUCUCCAGAGCUCCGAGUGUUCCAAAAGCACAGAUGCAUUUUGAUCUGGGAUUCUGAUCUUUAAUCUGUUUACCUCAAAUGGAAAUCACCCUUAAAAAGAGCAAAUUUCCAGACUCUACUCUGUGAUUAGCCACAGGAAACUUGGUCAAAUUACCCUGGGUAAAUGGACAGUGCUGCACAAAAUUAAUAACUAUCAGCAGCUUGCAGAAAAAUGUGAAAAGGAUAUUAAUAACUGGAUUUGCUUGAGAAUAGCAAAAUAAAAGCUUUUAAUAAUAGGCAAAAUACAUAACAACCCAUUGACUAGAGGCUCCUGUUUUCAUUUGGCCCCAGACACAAAGGUGUAUUUUUUUCUUUUAUGUUCAAAUGGGUGGACAGGGUAAGACAAUAAUGGCUGAAUGCUUCUAUUCACUCUUGGUGGGAUGCUGACUGCACUCAAGUCCUGUUGCAAGUGAGGAUUUUGGAGCAGAGAUCUCAUUACUUCUGAGAUAUCUAUGACUUAAUCUGCCCACUGAAAGGCUAAAUACAUUAUUUGUAGCAGAUGAGUCUCUCUGCUACUAUUGUUGCAUCCGUUUCAAAAUUGGUUUUCCAGCUUUGCAAGUGUGUUGACACAGAAAUACAGGUUGUUAAUGCUGUGGGCAAACACAGACUCCUACUUACAGACAAAAAUACAACAGCAAUGGCUCUAGAGGGUUUGCCCACACAGUUCUACGUGCCAUUGCACACACCUGAAUAAUUGUUCAGCCUUUAGUCUCUUUGCUGUGAUGGCUGCACAGCUGCUGUGUCAAGCAGCUGGCUGCUUUGAGGAAAAGAAUUCUUUAGAGGAAGUUUGAUUAUUUGGUAUGUUGCCAUAGAUCCCUAGAGGCCAUGGUUAAAAGGGAAUUAUUAGGGCACUCCAGUUUGUCUUCCUUGUCUCACUGAUAACUUUUCAGGCCAAAGUUGCUUCUUGUGUUUGAAUGAUGAGGUUGCACAAGAGAGCUGGAGGUAAAACACCUCUAGAGGCAGAGCAUAUAGGAAGUGGCUUGCUUCAUCUCCCACAGAAUGAACUGCAGUCAGGAUUUUCUAACUGCUAUCUGUGCGAGACAUUUUUAAUUGAAGCACUGGUCAAGUGGAAUCUUUUUCUCAAACUUAUACACAAAGUGCUCAGCAAAGCACAGAACCCUGUUCUUUUAAAGAAAAGCUUUAGAAAACAGCUCUGGGGAAUGUGUUUGGGCUUGGCUUCUUCAUCACUCCUCAGUGAGUGACAUCAAUUAUUCAGCUACCUGGCUCCAAGAACAGAGAAGCUACAGUGCUCCAAGUCAAGCUGUGUUGAGAGUUCAAGAGGCAACAUAUUUCAUAGGUCCAUACCUGUGAAAGAUCCACCACACAGCCUCUGCUCCAUUCCACUCUGCAGGGUCUCUGAACUUAAUAAUUAAUUAGUCCCCUUUCUCAAUUGUUUAAUUUAAACCUUCACUAACCUCCCAGAGAGAGAAGUGGUUGUAGUGGAGGAAGCCAGAACACAACAUCCAGAAAUAUAAUAUGCAUAUUGUCACUAUCAAAGUAGAGCAGAGCUUGAACCAGCUCUGGCCACUGCGAUUUAGGGAUCUUCAAUACACCUGACAAUAUUUCACAUAGACACUCACGUGCAGGAUCCUUGUACCUGCAUCCUAGAAUUUUUUUCUCCCAACAGAGAAGGUAUAUAGUUAGUGUGCAGUUUAACUAUGAGGCAGGAAAUGCCUGCACUUGCUGCUUGCACCCAGCUUGCCAUGUCACCUUGUCAAGCCAAUUAAUUAAAUUGAAGUUUUGUCUGGUCCUUCUUGACAACACAGUCUCUAACAAUGAAAAUAUGUAUGAUGAUGCUCUAGAAUGAAGGAGGUGGAACUCAUUGUUUUCCAAAACUCCUGCUAUUACUAUCAGUUUCACAUCAAAGUAGGACAUUUUCUUUGGGAAAAGCAACACAAAAGUGUCACUUAGUUUCACUAGCAGAAUAGUGGGGUUUUUUUGCUGUUCCCACGCUAAUGCUUUUCUUCAUGGUUGAAGAGUUUAGUCCAGUGCUCUGGGAGAGAGAAGCAAACAUUGCUAAUUGCACUAAGAUUAAUAUUCUAGGAAAUUUAAGCAAAGAACUCCACUGGCGAAUUCAUUAGGCAGCAGAAUAAUCCCACUGGGAAAGUACCAUUGUGUCAAACUGGCUUUAGUCAUGGUGGAAAUAUUUUGCUCUAUAUGCAAAAAUGCUUGCAGGAUCUGGCCUAACUAGACAGCCUGCAGGAACAAUGAAGACAAGUCCAUCGGUAACUGAUACAAUUACAAAGGCAACAGAAUAUCAGAAAAUGGUUGGGGAAAGUACACUAAGCAAUAUUUUCAUGGAUCCUACACACCAGACCUUGUCCUGCUCAGUUUUUCAUUGGAAACUUCUCUGCAGCUUUCCAACAGCUUCCCUUCUGCUUAGCAAGAAGAAAGAGGGGUGCAAAAACAAAGAAGGUAGACCUUUUAUACAGCUUCUCUGCUUUUCAUUGUCCUGUGACUAUGAAGGAAUUAAUAGCUAUUUUAGGAAAUGAAAAUCAUAAUUUUUCUAUCAUCCUUAAGACUACAGUUAUUUUAUUGGACAGUAUUUGCUUUCUUUCCCUCUGAUCUUCCACAACUGGACUUCUCAAACUUUUUCCCAGUAUAGGUCUUAUUUGUCCUCAACCAUCUUCACAAAAUCCUGCCUCCAAACAAGGAAAUACCAACACACAGAGAAGCUCAUAAUUGUUUUUCUCAGCCUCAAAAUAACCUAAUUUAUUUUCUCCCACUGCUAGCUCUGAUUGCAUCUUUCCUAGCUUUAAAGGACAGUUCAUAGAGAGAGAAAAAAUAUACACAGUGACUGCUGAGUGGUUAUAAAUACUGAUUUGGUGCAUGCUGCUUUGAUACAAGUAACUGUCCACCAGCCCUGCAGGAAAAUGGGUCUAAAGAGAAAAGUGGAAAAUCCAAACCUCUCUAUACAUUCAGCAGCUCAUAGCCCAGCCUCAAGCUCAGUGGCAGGCAAGUGUCAAAAAUAGUCUCCGUUCCUGCAGACAAGGCUUUCUGGAAUUAGGGUAUUAGCUACAUGAGACAGAAACCUAGACAGUACAUGCAGACACAGAAGAAGAAUUUGUCUGCUGCUCUCAAAGUGCAUACAUUUUAUGUAUUGUUGCUUAAUUUUUAUGGGGAUGAAGGAAGAUUUCCAACAGUGGUGAUUUUUUUUUUUUUUCUUCUCUCAAGAUUUUACAAUCUCUCAAGCAAGGAAGGCUACAGCUUGUCUUGAAAAGAUACAGCUCUUGAAAAUGAACUGCCUGUGGAAAAAAUGCAGUAAAAAUGUUGCCUCUCAGUGGAACAAAUUCAAAGGAUAAUCAGAGUCAUUACCUAAAGCCAGCUA